CUACCUACCGACUCCAGCACCGUGGCCGCGCUCAUCCAGCACCAGCGCGCCGACCAGUACCUGAGCACGCCGCCCGAGCCCGACCAGUGCUAGCGGACAUCAACAUAAAACGGGCACCAACGCUCCCCGUGACCGUGAUCACCAUGGUGGCGGACAGUGACCAAUGAUCAUCGGAACAGUGAUCUAUGAUCAUCGGAACAGUGAUCAAUGGUCGUUGGAACAGUGACAGCGGCAGGACGCUCUAGUGACUACGCCUUGUGGUAUAUAUUGAAACCGAUCGGCGGUACUGAGAAACUACUGUCCUCGCUUCGCUCGGCGUCAUAUGUCUGCGAAAUAAAGUGCUGGUAUGGUUUAGUCUGUAUCAAAACAUCUAUAUCCCAGUAAGUAACGCAACAUAACACAACAUAAUCUAAUCGAGUUUUGAGUUUUAGUUCGAAUCAAGUACAGUAACACAAAAGUCACUGUAGUGUUACGAAGGGCCCUAUUUAAGUAUGAAGAUUCGGUAAUUUAAAUUAUUCGACCAUUUUCUUCCACUGAUAUUAUCGCACUAUAUGUGAUGUUUUCAACCAAAAAGCACCACAUUGUCGCUUGUCGAUAAGGUUGAUUUAUAAUUGAAGCUAUAUGGAAAUAGCGCCUUACUGACAAGCGGCAAUAAGUACCCUUUUGGUUGAAAAUGGCACAUAUUACCGAAUUUAUAUGGAAAAACUGCAAUUUAGAUAAAAUGUAGGUACCCGGGGGCUUACCGCGAAAAUAGAAAUUUCGUUAUCUGCCUCACUAUCGCUCGAAUAUGCAAGAGUGAUAGAGAGACAAAUAACGAAAUUUAGAAUAUCGCGGUAGGCCCUCUGUGGGGACGGGUGGACGAAAUUUGUAUCGCCGAAUGUUUGAUGAAACAUAGUCAAAAUAUAGAACAUGAACAAUAUCGACAAUUUGCCUAUAAAGGUGUUUCUUACUAUCCGCUAAACACCUCUAGAAAUUACAGAAACCACCGAGAUAGUUAGUACGCAUACUUAUAUAAAAAUGUAGUUCUGUUGAUGUUUUUAUGUGAUCUGUAGCCUUAGCGCAGGAGCGCCGCGACAGUAUCUCGCCCGCGAGGUUGGCUAUCCGUCCCACUCUGAUUAAUACAGUUAGAAAAAAGACGGGUAGUCUAACUCGCGCGCGAGAUACUGUCGCAGAGCUCCAGUGCUAAGCCCACUGUGGUACGGCAGUUGAACGUUUAACAUUAAUAUGUCACUAUAGUAUAUAUUGACGUGUUUAUACUUGGCAAAUUGUAUUUUGUUUUCAUACACAUAGGUCUUGUAAAAGUAGUUAUAAAAACGUUCAGCUCUCGGUCCAUUAGUACCUAAAUAGUGAUCUAAGGGCCUGUUUCACAAUGUCCAAGUAAAGUCCUGAAUAAGCUACUUGCCACUAAUCUGACGAAUAAAGUCAUCGUUGGCGUUUCACAAUCUCCAAAUAAGCUUUAUCUGCCGGAUAAAGUGCUUUUUUUGUAGGAAAUUUUAUCUGGCAAUUAAUUUAUUUGUUAAUUAGCUAUUCAAUACUUUACUUGGACAUUGUGAAACAGGCCCUAAAUGUUGCGAGAAUGACGUGUUUAUAGAUUUCAAUAUGAAUCACAAAGCGCCAGCAAGCUUGUAUUACUUAAAUUAUUUUUGUAUUAAUAUAUAUAAGUAUAUAUAUAAAUCACCAUUCCAUUUGCGAAACCAACUGACAUUGCGGUAUAGUAUAGUGAAAGAGAUAAAAAACAUUCUAAUGCAUUUGAAGCAUAUGUUGAUAGUCUAUUUCAACCCUGCACUAUUAUAGUACAAUCAUUGUAUGACUAACUAAAAAAAAAAAAUAUUUUUUCUUAGUGUACCGUAAAAAUAGAUUACCAGAUCGGUCUGAGUUAUGAAAACGAUAAUGUUUCUACCCAACGACAGCAAAGCCAAAAGUUGAGCUUUUUGAUGCAUUCUAUGUGGCUGAGAAGAUACCCUAGCUAUAUCCUAGCAUAUACCGCAUUUGAACGAAUGCCGCUUACCGCUUAGCAUGAGUAUACCGUGACAGAAUACAGGUAGACUACCCGUCUGUUUGUAACUGUAUCAAUUAAAAAGCGGCGGGUAGUCUAUCUCACGCUAGAGAUAGUUAAUGUCGCGGCGUACUUGUAUUAAGUCUACGGAGCUGAAGGCCAGAGCGAUAUUCAAUUCAUUAAAGGUUUUUCUUAUUUUUAAAACUCGAAUUGACAAAAUCGUUUUACCUUUCGUAUGUGUGUGGACUAAAACCGUGGGUUCAAAGCUCGUUCGUGCUGUUUAGAGCAGAAACAAAUCGUUCUAAAAAAAUGCAAUCAGAUGACUGAAAAAUUCGUUAAGGAUCCUUAUCAAAUACACGGAAGGUUGACCCUUUGACCGCUAAAGUAGGCCACAAACGUGCACGGUUAAAGUUUAAUAUUAACCUUCGUUCAUUCCAAUAAGGUUAACGAUGGUGUGUUAUAUGUAAUAGGCGUAACGGUCAACGGGUUAAACGAUCCUAACUAAUACGAAUGCUAUCAUAUAAAACCGUACAGAAUUAUAAAUAAAACCGCACAAACUUUUGGCCGACUCGCUUCAUUCAUCUAGCUAUUCUAAUCAUAUUUAUAUGAAGCCAUUUUAAUGUAGUUCUAUUUAUUAUUUACGAACCAAAUAUGCAUUGACUUAUUUUUAACUUUGUAACAAGUUACUCAUAAGGUCAAUACGGGUAAGUGUGGCAUAGGGACAAGUGUGGCUGGCCUUCACAUUGGCGGCUGUUUAGACAUUGAUUCAUGUUUAUUACAAGUUCAUACAUUGGCUACUUGCUACUUGGGCUCAGUGGCAAAUGUAUGAACUCUCAAUAAACACUAAUGAAUAUGUAAACAGUCGCACUUAAACUAUCGUGAGACAUAUUUCAAAAUAUUUAUCAGUACGGUUUUUACUCACUAUUAUUUUUAGUCGCUUUUGGCGACAUGUUUCGGAUUCUUUGGGAACCGCCGCGGACACUCGUACCUGAGGAAACAUGUCCCCAAAAGCGACUAAAUAAUAGUGUGUAAAACCUUACUGAUAAAUAUUUUGAAAUGUGUAAACAGGCCCAAUGGCCAGCUACACAACUGACUUAACCGUAUGCCACACUUACUCGUAUUGACCUUAUGUGUUUGUGCUAUUUGUUAUAUUAUAAUACAUCGAUAUUGUGCAUCUCUCAAAGGAAUACAGUAAAAAGUAAAACGGGAAAUUCAUUUUCUCGUACAAUAGGUCUCUAUUGUGGAAGAAAAUAAAAAUAUUGUUAUUUACUGCAUCUAUGAGUAAAGAGUUGGAUCGCAUCAAAAUAAUGAUCAUUGUCAGAUUUCAUGGGUUAAGCCCUGAUUAUUUGGUGAGAAAAACCGUAUGUCAUAUCUGACGAUAACUUUUCCAUGGUUUUAUAAUGAGAUUGAUCAACUCCUCCACUUUAACAAAUUCCUUAAAAAACUUUAAAUUAUGAGUCCACACAAACCCAGUGCCAAAAAGCCGCUCCCAUACAAAUUUUAAAACGACAUAGGUACUUAAAUUAUAUGAAAUUUGGCAUAAACAUUUACGUUAAUAUAUCUGCCUGGCACUUGUAUUUCUAGCAACGAACGCUAGUACCAGACAUUGAUAUAAUAUAUGUUACUUGAAUGUUCAUGUUAUUUUAAAAUGAGACCAUAACUUCAAUUGUAUUGCGGCGUCUAGGUUCGUGUAACAUACUUGGAUAGCUUUUACAACAAAACCAAAUCUAAGAAGGGCCAGUAUUAUGUUCACAUGGACUUAUUUAUAUUGAUCAAUUAAAUAUUUGUUGAAGGCUCAAACUAUAGUAGCUUGUUACUAAGAGGAAAUCAUGAGGGACUAGCCAUAGUAUAGUUUAUGCCUUAACUAAUACAUGUAACAUAAUAGACUUAUCUGGUUGACUACACGGCACUCAGUUUAAGAGUUUUCUUUAGUUUAAAUUAAUAAUUUACUUCAAUCGUCGGGCUAAAACGCAGACACUCGUAUAGUUUUCGUGCUUAAUUUAACUAAGUGUGCUAUUUUUUAGUAAAUGUAUACAAUACAGCACUGGUUGCUUGCUACUCUAACUUAUAGCUGCGUCUCUUACCCGACGGUUGAGUAAAAUGUAGAGCCUAUCAUUAGUUGCGUGCUUGGCGUGCCAAAGGUGACAAAUAAGUGUCCGUUUCGAUUCACUGUUAGACGCCAAAAUGAUUUAAGGUCAAUACGGGCUAAGUGUGGCUGGCCUUUAUAUUGGGGCCUGUUUACACAUUAAUUAGUGUUUAUUGCAAAUUCAUACAUUUGCUAUUUGCAUUUAAUGGUAAAUGUAUGUACUCGCAAUAAACGCUAAUCAAUGUGUAGACACCCUAAUGUGAAUGCCAAUUCUACACUUACCUCAUAGCUACACUUACCCGUUAUUGAUCUUACUACUUUAAAAGUCUAUUUGGAGUGAUUUGAGUAUAAAAAUGUGUGUUUUCAACAUUAUCACAAGUAUGACCACCUUAUAAAAACAUUGUUAUAUAUUUUUGAGAUGUUGAUUGAGACAUUUUUAUACUUGUCUAUAGAAUAUAGAUAAUAUGCAUCAUAAAAAUCAUGAUAAAAUAUAACAUUAACAAGACAAUUUGUGUAAAUGAAAGUGUGUAGGUAGUAUAUAUGAAUGUAAAGAUUGAAUGAGCACCUUUUUAACAUUAUUUAUUUUAUACAUAUUUUUAAUCCAACGUGAAUGUCUAAAUUUUAAAUUAACUGAAUAUAAUUAUACAACUUACGGUUAUGGAUAGGUAGGUAUGUUAAAUUAAAUGCAUUCUUUUUUAUUUAUUGCCUUAUGAAUCAGUAAUGUUUAUUUUUAUGUACAUGUUUAGGAUACAAGUUUAUGAAAUAAGCAAGUGACUUUUGGGGAAAACCUUUGUUUUUAUUUAUUCUCCAUCUAACUAAGAUUAAACGAAAUAUGCAAAUAAGUUUCCAUAAUGACCUGCAUAUAUAAGAAUGUUAAAGUUCAAUAUAACUCGCAUCGCAAGUACAAAUGGUUAUAGGCGUAGAUUUUUUACGUGUAGGUGCCUAAAAGUAAAUAAUUGGAUUUAGAUAGAAUUAACAAAUUUUGGAGAGCGCAUCAACACAUAAUACUGCGAAAUAUGAAGGCAGGCAAUUUGCCACGGUGCAAAAUAUUUUUUUAACAAUGCUCUGAACUGGUGCAAAAUGCGAAAACAUACGUAUAAGUAAAAUACAAGGACGGAAUUAUUGUUUCUUAUGAGGAUUUUUUUAUUGAGAAAUGAACUCUAGCCAUCUUGAUCCUGUAAAAUAUGAAAGUAUGAUGGAUAGAUAGCAUUGUACAGUAAACUGCCAUCUAGGUCUAAACUUGUAACGAAUGUGUUUCCCCAUAGUACAGCUAGCCUUCCUAACUAACAAAAUCAACUGUUUUAUGGUGCUUUCAUGUAGUUCACAUGACCAGUAUAGGUUAAAUGAUGGCCUAAACAACUGUGCCAGAAAUCGUUUAUCAUAUUCGCUAAGGGCACAAAUAGUACAUAUCUAUGCAAACACAUUGCGUUGCUUUACCCUCCCAAGUCUUAGCUAGCUGUAGUACCUAUUCAGUUCGAUGAAAUUUAAAUCCUAUUCAAAUGGAACAGUUGAAUUUGUUGUUUCAUUUUCACACAAAAAUAUACUCUAUUUCCUACACUAUAGGUUCAAAUUAGACAAAGUGGCGACCACGUACCGGAAGACGCAGCGUGGGAAGGCCCCAGACUAGAUGGACCGACGAUCUGGUUAAAGUCGCGGGAAACCGUUGGUUGAGGGCAGCGAAUGACUUGUUGAAUCGUUGUGGAGAUCAUUGGGGGAGGUAUUUGUCCAGUAGUGGACGUCUUUCAGCUGAGAUAAUGAUGAUGAGGUUCAAAUUUCAGUAACAAUUAUUGGAUUUGUCAUUUGUAUGACUGGAUUGACUGAGCUUUAGGAGGUUACUACUUUUUACAAAUUUAACAUGACACUCCGUAGCGCACCCGGAUCAAUUAGGAAAUUGAGACUUGUCUCAUUGUUAAAAUUCAAGUUUCUAAGUGGACGGACAACCUAUCCUAACUUGGUUGGUCUUCCAAUGGGUUCUUUUAUCAAAGGAAAAAUUUGCUGGGCUGCGGCAUAUUGCUGUUGUUACUACACAUAAUAAUUAUUUGUUCACAUCUUUCAUUCAGCUUAUUGUUGUCAGUCUCUGUCCGCACAGAGACAAAUUAUCUGUUCAGGCUUUGUAUACAUUCCUUACUUUACUAUUUAUUCGAAUAACGUUUAUUUUGAGAAUAAUGCGCCAUAAUUCUGACUUCUCUCAAAAUCAAUGUUAUUUCUGAUGUGUUUAAUCUUUCGUUUUGUAUGUAUGUUUGGAGUCCCCAAAAGUCGCUUGCCAGUAUGUUCGUGGGUGUUGCACGUAUGGAGACACUUAGACAAUCAUUUGCCACGCUGUUCGAUAAAUUGAUAAAAUUUGUAUAAAUAUUUAUAACGAUAAUGUAACUGUUGAUUAAAUGUAACAGAAGAUUAAGGGUGCUUAUGAUUAUCGUUAUAAUACAAAGUUGUGCAUAUA